rnacentral:RNase_P_RNA from 2 species
GGAGUCAGUCGGGCAGUCGCUUUAUUUUCAAUCGAAUAAAGAGGAAAGUCCGGGCUGAAUCGGACAGGGUGCCAGGUAACGCCUGGGAGACGCGAGUCUACGGAAAGUGCCACAGAAAAGAUACCGCCUCAAUUGAAUUAUCAUAGCAUAUUGAUAGUUUAAUCGGUAAGGGUGAAAAGGUGCUGGUAAGAGCGCACCGCGUGGGUGGCAACAUCCACGGCAGGGUAAACCCCACCUUCAGCAAGACCAAAUAGAGAAACAUUCCACAAAAUAAAUCUUGGUGGAAAGGUGAAGUCCACACCGUUUCUGGGUAGGUUGCUAGAAGUGUUUGGCGACAAACAUUCCAGAUGAAUGACUGCCCUAUACUUAAACAUUCGCUAUUGGGAACGUUGAGCAUAGACAGAACCCGGCUUACAGACUGACUCCCACU